UCCGAGUUGACCCCGGCGGUCUCCCGUGAGUCCCCAACACCCCGAAGGGCUUGCUGGCAACACGGGACAAGGGUUGCGCUCGUUGCGGGACUUAACCCAACAUCUCACGACACGAGCUGACGACAGCCAUGCACCACCUGUACACCGACCACAAGGGGGCGCCCAUCUCUGGACGUUUCCGGUGUAUGUCAAGCCUUGGUAAGGUGGGGAUGACGUAAGAGAGUACGUCC
rnacentral:misc_RNA from 1 species